rnacentral:ncRNA from 1 species
UGGAACUUAGAAGCACUUAAUGUUCUGACAAAAAAUUAGAAAUGAUUGAACACGAUGUUCAAUCAAGUCGCCACUGAGCCAUGGAUGGCGAAUUGGCGACGGUUUCGUCCGGGUAAGAUACAUAUAUCAGAACAUUUAGUGCUUCUUAGUUUC